AUUGAACGCUGGCGGCAGGCCUAACACAUGCAAGUCGAACGGUAACAGGAAGAAGCUUGCUUCUUUGCUGACGAGUGGCGGACGGGUGAGUAAUGUCUGGGAAACUGCCUGAUGGAGGGGGAUAACUACUGGAAACGGUAGCUAAUACCGCAUAACGUCGCAAGACCAAAGAGGGGGACCUUCGGGCCUCUUGCCAUCGGAUGUGCCCAGAUGGGAUUAGCUUGUUGGUGGGGUAACGGCUCACCAAGGCGACGAUCCCUAGCUGGUCUGAGAGGAUGACCGGCCACACUGGAACUGAGACACGGUCCAGACUCCUACGGGAGGCAGCAGUGGGGAAUAUUGCACAAUGGGCGCAAGCCUGAUGCAGCCAUGCCGCGUGUAUGAAGAAGGCCUUCGGGUUGUAAAGUACUUUCAGCGGGGAGGAAGGGAGUAAAGUUAAUACCUUUGCUCAUUGACGUUACCCGCAGAAGAAGCACCGGCUAACUCCGUG
rnacentral:rRNA from 1 species